rnacentral:misc_RNA from 1 species
GAACGCAAAUUGCACUCUCUGGCAACCCGGGGAGUAUGCCUGUUUGAGGGUCAGUAUUAAUAAAAAUCGGGUGCGUUGCAAUUUUUGUGACGUUUCCGGAGUUUGAGUUAUCUUAAUUAACUUCGGUUUUAAGAGGCUUAAAAUUGACCUUUUUUUGUGCAUUUUUAGACGUACAUAAAUUUUUUUUUUUAUUCGUCCAUCCUAAUGCCAAAAUCUAUUAGAUGCGACCAUAUCUUGUGGUUCCGUGUCUAUAAAUUUUUCAUGAUUUGACCUCAAAUCAGGUAGGAACACCCGCUGAACUUAAG